rnacentral:lncRNA from 1 species
GGAAGUAUGAGCAGUGGUUGUACCAAUCCGCUUUGCAGAAAGUGUUAUAAGAAUCAUCAGGGUGAGUGUAAAGAUGGUAGUGAUAGGUGUUUUGGGUGUGGCUAGUUAGGCCACAAGAUUUGAGAGUGUCCAGUGGUUGCUCAGAGGGGAAAGAAUUUGCGCCAAUAGGGCCAGUCCAAUUUUUCAUCAGCUCCAACAGGUCGCUCAACUCAGCAGG